GAUGAAGAACGCAGCGAAAUGCGAUAAGUAGUGUGAAUUGCAGAAUUCAGUGAAUCAUCGAAUCUUUGAACGCACAUUGCGCCCCUUGGUAUUCCAUGGGGCAUGCCUGUUCGAGCGUCAUUUGUACCCUCAAGCUUUGCUUGGUGUUGGGCGUCUUGUCUCCUUUUCUCAAGGAGACUCGCCUUAAAGUAAUUGGCAGCCAGUGUUUUUGGCAGUAAGCGCAGCACAUUUUGCGUCUUAGUCCCUAAACAGUGGCAUCCAGGAAGCCUCUUUCUCACUUUUGACCUCGGAUCAGGUAGGGAUACCCGCUGAACUUAAGCAUAUCAAUAAGCGGAGGA
rnacentral:misc_RNA from 1 species